rnacentral:tRNA from 1 species
GCUAGGGGGGGAAAGCUCGGCAAAGGGAAAAGGCUUAAGCCCUUUAUCCAGAGGUUCAAAUCCUCUCCCUAGCU